rnacentral:misc_RNA from 1 species
GUAUAUAUUUUUACAGGCAUGUAAUCAUUGCCUAAAUGUCACAUUCCAAUACUUUAUACGGAGUAUAAUAAGACAUAGGAUCUGAAAUAUAAAGAGCAGCCGGCUUCGCGCACAGCAAUUCUUUGAACCGAGGUUUUCUCGAAAGUUAUUCAGAUCUACACAAGAUGCACAGGUGGUUGUAAAGUUGGAAUAGGCGUGCACUUGUCAAGAAAGACCAGCAACGGCCUAAACCAAGUUUAUUCAAUAAUGAUCCUUCCGCAGGUUCACCUACGGAAA